UCCUUUUUAUUUAAAUCACUGCCAGCAACCGAGCUGCUGCAUUUCUGCAGCUGGUUAAGCUUAAUAAGGCACUUGCUGAUGCUGAGAUGACAAUAAAACUCAAGCCAGAAUGGUAGCACCUAAGAGCAUCAUCUCCUAUCCACAGUCCAAAACUCUCGCGCCUCAAGACUUUGCACCUUUACACACUAAACAUGGAAAAGACCGCUUUAGCAAUUCUGAUGAAUCUUGGAUUAAUAGAGGAAUCCAAGAUUUCAAGAACAUUACCUUGGAGGCCACCAACUAAUGUUUUCCGUGUCAAAGAGGAUGUUCGUCCUAUAUUCUGGGCCAACAGACCAAAGAGUUACAUUUGAAGGACCACUGGCUGGGAUCAAUACCCACAGGGGUGGUGCGGUGAUUCCAGGAACCCAUCAUACGGAGCCCUUAAUGACCACCAGUUCACACGGCCACGUGGGCGUGGUAAGAAGCUCCAAGAGGAAUGGGCUGUUCCACUGAAAUCUGUGCAAGACAUUAAUGAGUGGUUCGUAAACUUCUGUGAAGGAAAACUUAAAAGCAGCCCAUGGUCUGAGUUAGAUGGUCUUCAACCCGAGACAACGAUAAUUGAUGAUCAGUUGGUGAAGAUGAACUCAAAGGGUUUCCUUACCAUCAACAGCCAACCUGCUGUAAAUGCAGAGAAAUCUGAGUCUCCUAGUGUUGUUCAUAUAUAAAGUUAUAAAUCCAACAAACCUUCUGCCAUCAAACCCACCGCAUGCAUCAGGCGAGGCAAGGUGCUCUUCUCCAGGGAUAGUUUGAAGACGAGGACGAGAUGACGAGGGAGCCAGCACAAGGCGCGAGAAGGUGCUCCUCUGCUGCGGCGAACGGCGAUCAGGCGAGGGAGGCGAUGGUGGGCGAACGGCGACCAGACGAGGCCCAAGAACGAGCAGCACGAACGGCGACCAGGCGAGGCCCGCGAACAGCGAUCAGGCGAGGCAGGCGAUGGCGGCGAACGGCUACCGGCGAGGCCCAAGAACGAGCACCACGAACGGCGACCAGGCAGGCGAACGGCGGUCAGGCGAGGCAGGCGAUGGCGGCGAGCGGCGACCAGGCGAGGGAGGCGAUGGCGGCGAACGGCGACCAGGCCAGGCAGGCGAACGGCGAUCAGGCGAGGGAGGCGUGCGUGCGUGGGUGAUAUUGUAAUCAACUAUGGACGAGGCGGGCGUGCGUGGGUGUGUUUGAUUCAACUGUUUUGUUUUGACUA